AUUGAACGCUGGCGGAAUGCUUUACACAUGCAAGUCGAACGGCAGCACGGGUGCUUGCACCUGGUGGCGAGUGGCGAACGGGUGAGUAAUACAUCGGAACGUACCCAGUCGUGGGGGAUAACGCAGCGAAAGUUACGCUAAUACCGCAUACGUCCUGAGGGAGAAAGCGGGGGACCGUAAGGCCUCGCGCGAUUGGCGCGGCCGAUGGCGGAUUAGCUAGUUGGUGGGGUAAAGGCCUACCAAGGCGACGAUCCGUAGCGGGUCUGAGAGGACGGCCCGCCACACUGGAACUGAGACACGGUCCAGACUCCUACGGGAGGCAGCAGUGGGGAAUUUUGGACAAUGGGCGAAAGCCUGAUCCAGCCAUUCCGCGUGAGUGAAGAAGGCCUUCGGGUUGUAAAGCUCUUUCGGCAGGGAAGAAACGGCUUGGAUAAUACCCCGGGCUAAUGACGGUACCUGAAGAAGAAGCACCGGCUAACUACGUGCCAGCCGCCGCGGUAA
rnacentral:rRNA from 1 species